rnacentral:rRNA from 1 species
GACGAACGCUGGCGGCGUGCCUAAUACAUGCAAGUAGAACGCUGAAGAGAGGAGCUUGCUCUUCUUGGAUGAGUUGCGAACGGGUGAGUAACGCGUAGGUAACCUGCCUUGUAGCGGGGGAUAACUAUUGGAAACGAUAGCUAAUACCGCAUAACAAUGGAUGACACAUGUCAUUUAUUUGAAAGGGGCAAUUGCUCCACUACAAGAUGGACCUGCGUUGUAUUAGCUAGUAGGUGAGGUAAUGGCUCACCUAGGCGACGAUACAUAGCCGACCUGAGAGGGUGAUCGGCCACACUGGGACUGAGACACGGCCCAGACUCCUACGGGAGGCAGCAGUAGGGAAUCUUCGGCAAUGGGGGCAACCCUGACCGAGCAACGCCGCGUGAGUGAAGAAGGUUUUCGGAUCGUAAAGCUCUGUUGUAAGUCAAGAACGGGUGUGAGAGUGGAAAGUUCACACUGUGACGGUAGCUUACCAGAAAGGGACGGCUAACUACGUGCCAGCAGCCGCGGUAAUACGUAGGUCCCGAGCGUUGUCCGGAUUUAUUGGGCGUAAAGCGAGCGCAGGCGGUUUGAUAAGUCUGAAGUUAAAGGCUGUGGCUCAACCAUAGUUCGCUUUGGAAACUGUCAAACUUGAGUGCAGAAGGGGAGAGUGGAAUUCCAUGUGUAGCGGUGAAAUGCGUAGAUAUAUGGAGGAACACCGGUGGCGAAAGCGGCUCUCUGGUCUGUAACUGACGCUGAGGCUCGAAAGCGUGGGGAGCGAACAGGAUUAGAUACCCUGGUAGUCCACGCCGUAAACGAUGAGUGCUAGGUGUUGGAUCCUUUCCGGGAUUCAGUGCCGCAGCUAACGCAUUAAGCACUCCGCCUGGGGAGUACGACCGCAAGGUUGAAACUCAAAGGAAUUGACGGGGGCCCGCACAAGCGGUGGAGCAUGUGGUUUAAUUCGAAGCAACGCGAAGAACCUUACCAGGUCUUGACAUCCCGAUGCUAUUUCUAGAGAUAGAAAGUUACUUCGGUACAUCGGUGACAGGUGGUGCAUGGUUGUCGUCAGCUCGUGUCGUGAGAUGUUGGGUUAAGUCCAGCAACGAGCGCAACCCCUAUUGUUAGUUGCCAUCAUUCAGUUGGGCACUCUAGCGAGACUGCCGGUAAUAAACCGGAGGAAGGUGGGGAUGACGUCAAAUCAUCAUGCCCCUUAUGACCUGGGCUACACACGUGCUACAAUGGUUGGUACAACGAGUUGCGAGUCGGUGACGGCGAGCUAAUCUCUUAAAGCCAAUCUCAGUUCGGAUUGUAGGCUGCAACUCGCCUACAUGAAGUCGGAAUCGCUAGUAAUCGCGGAUCAGCACGCCGCGGUGAAUACGUUCCCGGGCCU